GAUGAACGCUGGCGGCAUGCCUAACACAUGCAAGUCGAACGUGAUUGGAAGCUUGCUUCCAUGAAAGUGGCGCACGGGUGAGUAACGCGUAGAUAAUCUACCUGAUGGACCGGGAUAACACUUCGAAAGGGGUGCUAAUACCGGAUAAGCCCACGGAGUCCUUGGACACUGCGGGAAAAGGAGGGGACCUUCGGGCCUUCCGUCAUCAGAUGAGUCUGCGUACCAUUAGCUAGUUGGUAGGGUAAAGGCCUACCAAGGCGAAGAUGGUUAGCUGGGCUGAGAGGAUGAUCAGCCACACUGGAACUGAGACACGGUCCAGACUCCUACGGGAGGCAGCAGUGGGGAAUUUUGCGCAAUGGGGGAAACCCUGACGCAGCAACGCCGCGUGAGUGAUGAAGGCCCUUGGGUCGUAAAGCUCUGACAGAGGGAAAGAAAUGUGGGUGGCUAAUAUCCAUUCCACUUGACGGUACCCUCAAAGGAAGCACCGGCUAACUCCGUGCCAGCCGCCGCCGUAACAC
rnacentral:rRNA from 1 species